GACGAACGCUGGCGGCGUGCUUAACACAUGCAAGUCGAACGGAAAGGCCCCUCUUGGGGUACUUGCGUGGCGAACGGGCGGGUAACACGCAAGUAACUUGCCCUUCCCUUCGGGAUAACUAACGGCAACUGGCGCGAAUACCGGCCAGGAAUCCUUUCCGCCUGGAGGGGGGUGGUAAGAUUCGGCGGUUUGGGGUGGAUUCGCGGCUUAUCUGUUUGUUGGUGGGGUAGUGGGUUGCCUAGGAUUUGAUGGGUAGCCGGCCUGGGAGGGGGGCCGGCCACAAUGGGGCUUGGAUUAGGGCCAGACCCCUACGGGAGGCAAGAGUGGGGGAUAUUGCACAAUGGGCGGGAGCCUGAUGCAGCAACGCCGCGGGCGGGAUGACCGGCUUCGGGUUGGAAACCGCUUUCAGCAGGGGCGAAACUUGUGGUGACGGUACCUGCAGAAGAAGCACCGGCUAACUACGUG
rnacentral:rRNA from 1 species